GAUGAACGCUGGCGGCGUGCCUAAUACAUGCAAGUCGAGCGAACCUCUAAGGAGCUUGCUCCUUUGACGUUAGCGGCGGACGGGUGAGUAACACGUGGGUAACCUACCUAUAAGACUGGGAUAACUUCGGGAAACCGGAGCUAAUACCGGAUAAUAUUUCGAACCGCAUGGUUCGAUAGUGAAAGAUGGUUUUGCUAUCACUUAUAGAUGGACCCGCGCCGUAUUAGCUAGUUGGUAAGGUAACGGCUUACCAAGGCGACGAUACGUAGCCGAGCUGAGAGGGGGAGCGGCCACACUAGAACUGGGACACGAGCCAGACUCCUACGGGAGGCAGCAGUAGAGAAUCUUCCGCAAUGGGCGAAAGCCUGACGGAGCAACGCCGCGUGAGUGAGGAAGGUCUUCGGAUCGUAAAACUCUGUUAUUAGGGAAGAACAUACGUGUAGGUAACUGUGCACGUCUUGACGGUACCUAAUCAGAAAGCCACGGCUAACUACGUGCCAGCCGCCGCCGUAA
rnacentral:rRNA from 1 species